rnacentral:rRNA from 1 species
UACGUAGGGUGCAAGCGUUGUCCGGAAUUAUUGGGCGUAAAGAGCUCGUAGGCGGUUUGUCGCGUCGAAUGUGAAAACCCGGGGCUCAACCCCGGGCCUGCAUUCGAUACGGGCAGACUAGAGUUCGGUAGGGGAGUCUGGAAUUCCUGGUGUAGCGGUGAAAUGCGCAGAUAUCAAGAGGAACACCAGUGGCGAAGGCGAGUCCCUGGACAAACCCUGACACUGAGGCACGAAAGCCAAGGGAGCAAACAGG